rnacentral:lncRNA from 1 species
UUUGAGGGGUGUUUUUUUUUUUUUCUUUUCAAAACGAAACGGAGGAGGAGGAGGAAGGGGGGUGUAUGAGAAAAUUUCAAGGGCAAUAUGGUAAUUACACUAAAGAUUAGUUUGGGUAUUUUCUUUCUGAUUUUUGGGGGGUGUCCUUAGCAAUAGGGGGGGUGUAUAUAGAACCACCCGUGACGGCUGUGGCCCCUUUAAUGAUGACACUUGGUUUUGGCCAUUAUUACGGAUCAGGUAAAGAAAGAGGUUUCAGUGGCGGAGAGCGCCCGGACGCAGGCGGCAGAGAUUAGUCAUAUUUCCUCCUUAGAAGGACUUUUGAUAGCUCGAAAUAUCUGGAGUUCCCAUUCUACCUUGGCAGCUUCUCGUAUGGUAUUUUUCACCUGGAAGCCCCCACCCCCAAGCUUCCUCAAGAUCAAUUUUGAUGGGUCGGUGCUGGAUGGUGGCACAAAGGGUGGAGCGGGUUUCGUCAUUAGGGACCCAAACUCCAGGGUUGUGGCGGCGGAAGGUUAUCAGUUAUUUGACUGCACGGUUCCUGAAGCGGAGCUGAGAGCUACCUGGGCGAGUCUUCGACAUGCUCAGUGUGUGCUUUCAGCUAGUUCGGUCAUUUUGGAGGGUGACUCGGCUACGGACAUUAGUUGGAUCCAGGGGAUCAGAGGGUCGAUGCUGUCGACUAUCCCUUGAUCCGUGAUAUCUGGAUGAUGAUGAGGGACGAAUGGGUGGUCCAGGCGAAGCAUGUGUUUAAAGAAGCCAGCAGAGCUGCUGAUUGGGAGGCUACGUAUGUGGCUAACCAUGCCAACAGUACCCUAUGGGUAGGGGAUGGGGAGCUGCCUCGCGAGCUCCGUGAUAUUUUGUUUUCCGAUUUUAUUAGGUGUAUCCGUACACGUGUUGUAUAGAUCAUCCGGUUUAGCGGGAAAAAAAAAGAAAAAAAGAAAAGAAGAAGAAGCAGAAGAAGAGAGAGGUUUGACGCCGUCGGCAAGGAUGACUUUUUCUAUGUGAAGCUUAUACACUCCUACGUUUAUGGACGCAAAUAAAUUUUGACUUUUCAAAAUUAAAAAAAAAUCAAAAAAUAAUUUGAAAAUCAAAAGGAGAAACUUAUAAUUUCAACUAAUGUAAAAUUUUAAAUAAUAAUCAGAAAUUACAUAGUUUUUGGUGUUGAUUUGUGAGCAAGGAACUUUAUGCGUUUGCACCUAUGCGCGCCCGUUAUGCAUGUGCGCGUGAGAGCACGUUUCCUUAAAGUUUUUUUGAACAAAAUAGUUGAGGAUUAUAAGUUGUUAAAGAUAUAUAUGCGCCUAACAAAGAUAAAUAAAGUUUCUAUGUAAAUUAGACCUAUUUAGAUGCUGCACAACCCGUUUAGCCCGUCCGAGCCUAAAGUAUUUUGGACGAAUCUAAGCCUGAAUUUUAAGCCUGACAAACCGGAUAAGAUCUAAAAUUUAAGCAUUCUUGCACAUACGGAUAUAUAUAUAUAUACACACACACACAUACAUACAUACAUACAUACACAACCUAUUACCACAGAGCUCGCCCGGUUGAUUAAGGAAAAGAGGUGGUGGUGACUAGAGUAAUCACGUCCAUCACCUCCCAACACGAAGGAGGGGCUCUCCUCUCGUCUUGACACCUCAAGGAUGCGAGUUCCCCAUCAGCUUGAUGGUCCAGAUUAUCGUCCUCUCAUCCACCGAGUCUAUCGCCUCCAUCACUGUUGACUCUGAUGUCGUGUCGCUCGAUGGGCGCCAUGAUGCGCUCAAGAUCGAGACGGAGAUCAAGGAGGAUCACUUCAGUUUCACAACCAGGUACAUUUUAAUGCCAUAUGGAAGUUAUUAGCGCCACACAGGGUUAAAGUUUUUUGUUCGAAAUUUCGAUGGAAUAAACUCCCAUGUAAGCAAAUGUUAUAUAGAAGAGGUAUCAUAAAUGAGAAUCAUCUCAAGUGUGAUAAGUUUCCCCUAUGCAGUCAGUAAGAUCAGUUCAUAUUUUACUGGAAGGAUACUAAUGCAGCUUAUGAUCUGAACUCCUCCAGUCCACAUUCAAGGUACUGGUGCAGUCUUCAUAAUUAGGAGAAUACCCAACAAUCCACAGAAACUAUUCAAUGGCUGCCCCCACCCAUGGGUGUUUUGAAGGUAAAUUUUGAUGGCUCACUGUCAAAUGAUCAAGCUUCUGCAGGAUUUGUAAUCAGAGAUGCCAAUGGCACACUUAUGGAUUGCUAGUAAAAAAGUUCUUACCUUCUCUGUUCCUUUUGCUGAACUCAUAGCUGCUUGGGAAGGGAUCAAAAAUGCAAUAUCCCCGGUUUCAGACUUCACAAUUGUGGGUAGAGGGUGAUUCAGCUACACUGAUAGCAUGGAUUAAUUCAGGAGGGACACCUAAAGUCCAAGCUAAUCCCUUUUUAAAUUAUAAUUUUUCACUUACUUUUAAAGCCACACAUAUCCAUUGAGAAAGGUAAUAGGGCAGCAGAUUGGGCAGCUUGGAAGGCAAUUGAACAUGAAUUUGAAAUGGAUGGAAACCAUCAAGCUCCUUUUGAUCUUAGUUAUAUUUUGAUGUCAGAUGCUUAUGGUGUAACUUAUAUAAGACAUUAGUUAUUUUCAGGCUACGCCUCCUACUUGUACCAAAAUAAAUAAAUAAAGGAGACCUUGAAUAAAAGAUGGAUACAUACAAAAUAAAAUUAAAAAAAAAAAAGGGCAUGAUGCUCGGCAUAAGGGACAAGCAGCACAAACUGGGACCCCUGGUUGUUGCAGGUUAACAUCAUCCAUCAUCAAUUAGAGCAAUAGAGUUUUUUCUCUCUUUUUUUUUAAAGCAUAGGUUGAUGAGUAAUUGUUAUUAUAAUAUAGCUAAUAUAGUUUAUUCCUAUCGUCUCACAUUGUAUGCAAUAUGAAUAUAUAGUUGUAAGCUAAAAUAAUUUGUUUGAGAUUCAUAACGCUAUAGAACAUAAACUAUGUACUACCGAACACCUAAAAUAUAGGAGGAUAGAAUCCCCCCCUACAUAUAGCAUUGCAAGUUGGCACAUUUUCUCAAAUAAAACAAUUGCAACCUUCGAAAAUGAUAUGGCCAAGAGAAAUCAUUAUUAAUUUGGUCAACUACAGGCAAGCAUUGGGUCAGUUAGCAAAAACAACCUAGAAAGAAUUAGCAAUGAUAUUGAUUGUUGUAGUCAAACAAGUAAAGGGACCAGAAUGCCCCUUUUACUUAUAGGGGCAGGUUUAAAGGCUCAUAGAACUUUGGCAAGGUAGAUCUUCCUAAGAAUAAAAUAAAGUUAGACUAGAUCAUUAGUGGUUAUUAGAAGGUAGAAGCUAUUAGAUUUCAACAUGUUUUAGGAUAACACAUCAUUUGGUCAUUAGAUUUUUAUAUGGAGACUCUAAUUAAGAAGGGUUUAAACAUGCUAGCUAGUACAAGACCAAUGACAAGAGAACACUAAAGUCGUACUGCCAAAUGAAUGAUACAAAAUUUGUAGGUCACGCUAGGAGUUGAUUAUGAACAAACAAACACAGAAUAAUAGCACGCGGUCGUGUCCUAACAAAGCUAACGCCAAGUCCACCUUGUUUUAGUUUUUAAAUGUUUUCUAGGGUUCAGACAUAGCAGUGGGAUCUUAACUAUGCGAAGGUUUGAGCUUCCCACGCAAGUUGCCAUUUUAUAUUCCACAAAAAUAAACAACCCAUGGUCAUCAAGGACUCAUUUGAUUUGCAGAAAGAAUUUUUCUCACUCGAAUGUUUUUUUCUGAAAAGUUGUUGCAUGCCUAAAAAAUUAUUUUUUGCAAAUUUGGUUGACCAUGAAAAGUGGUACAUUCCAAAAGUGACUUAUAUUUGGUUAAGCAUCUAUUUUUUUUAAAAAAAUUAUGUAAAAUAUUUGUAUGUCCUUAAUAAAGAAAAAGAUUUUAUCCCAUUCUAUCUAAAAGCUUAAAGAUACUUUUGAACAAAAAAAUUAUCUCAAUUCUUAGCCGAUGGGAAUUGAACUUUUCCAUUUAAUAUUGAAAUCUUAUUUCUCCAGAAAAGCUACUUUUCUAUUUCUUUCCUUGAAAACUCCAAUCAAAUAUGAGGCAUUUCUUUAUUUUUCUAUUGACCAUAAUUUUUUUUCCCCUCCUCUUCCCACCAACCAAACUAAGUUCCAAGUGUUGGGAGGAAGAAUGGGCACUCAGCUAGUUGUGCGCCCUAUACUUUAGUAACCAACAUAGCAUCAAAGAAACCAAACAUCUAUUUUUAUAUACAAAAGAAGACUUCAUACUCUAUCGAAGGAAGAAUAAUGCAAGAAAUGUAUAGCUAGUGCAAGAUGGUCAAAUUUUCUUAGACCAAUCAUGGUCCCAAGUGUAUUUCCAUAUAGACCUAAUUCUGAACAACCAAAUGAUGCAUUUCCUUAUUCAAGCUUGGACUCAAGUGAUCUCGAGGUAUAGGAGCUGUGGAUCUAAUAUAAGGAUAAGAUAAUGCUUUUCUAAGUCGCACCUUUCCACUCUCACCAUUCCAACUGACCACAUCUUAUCCUACCCUCCUAACCUCUCAGCAUUUACCACCUGAUUAGGGUUGACUUGUCUUAGAAUUGAUACUAAACUAGAACUGGUUGCCAAAUUGGCCUCAGGUCUUGUCUUCACUACAUGGCUCAGAUAUGAGAACUGAGGGAAGAAAAGGUCAUGGGGACCUGGCUGGCUUGCUUACUUCAAGUGGCUUCAGCUCUUUUAGAUUCCUUUUAACAGUUCCUAAGGUUGGAUUGGUAACCGCGACAAUUACUUCUUCAUGCACAUGUGAAAGAAUAGAUUCUCUCUUUAGUUAUUAUUUCUAUGCAGCCUCAGACCUAGUAAAUGGUCUUUCAAUGAUCUAAGAAGUAUCAAAGUUACCAGCUCAUGGCUCCUAGGGAAAGAACAUAGUGGAGGAUGACAACAUUUUGAGCCUACAACUUUAUGAACUGAGCAAACCCUCUGCUAAUCAAGAAAAAAAGAAAGAUCAUCUCUACUUGGUGAACAUAGUCAAAAGUUAGGCCAAGCUUCUUGAUGGAUCCGCGAUCUAACCAGGUCAAGUUUCUGUACCAACCCUAGAGGAAGCAUCUUCAAAAUAUAAAUCAUGUGUAUUAAUAUAGUUAUUACUUCUCUGUCUUUGCAAAUACACUCUGAUUUAGCUAUCCUUUUAUCUAUUCAUGUAGCACUCUUCCUUUUUUCUCCUAGAGCAAAAAUCCUAAGAGCUAAUGCCACUUAAGACUCAAAAAAUGGACUCCACUUAUAAACAAAGGGGUAUGACCACCAAGCUAACACUCAGGUCAUUAUUCAUAUAGGAUUUCAACCAUCAAAAAUUUUCACUAUUAGAAUUUUUGUUACUUAAUGUGACAGCUUGCAUGUUAACUCAUUCCUGCCACUAUCUACUCAGAUUGUUGGGAAUCCAAGAGAGUCAGGGUCUCCAAGAUUUCAAACACCAUAGAGGAUUCUUGCUCAGCUUCCCUACUCCAAUUCUCCUGCUUUUCUGGUGUGGUGUAGCCACAGCGAUGGUUAAAAAUUCAUUGUUGUGUGUCACCUAAACCUACUUGCAGAACUCCUCUAUUCAGGAACUGAGAUGACACUAGACUUUGUAUCAUAUUCAGGAAAAGCCAGCCAAGCAAACUUAAUUGGAUCAAAGUCUUGGAAUACACUUGGAAGAGUCAGAACUCUCAAAAGUUUCUUAAAUGCUAUAUCACUCGAGGAGGCCCUCUAAUAAGAAAAAUCCUGUCUAAUGCCUUUUUUUAAAGGUUCAACAUUUAGAACUACAUCUGCAGACUGCAGCCAAAGAUGUGCAAUAGCCAUAGACUUUUUUAGACACGUGUCUCGCACUUAUGCUAAACCUUGUAUACAACUCUGGUUUGUAGGACUCGCAUUGAGAGUGCUUCUAUCUUGUAUAUAGGGCUGAUGCCCUUGCAGUUUGUAUCUAGUUACAAUGAUCCAUAGAUACCAGUUCACUUCUAAAUUCUAAUUGUUCAUAGACUCAAUAUUAAAUUGACACAUAUCUCAACCUGUUUACCUUUAAUUUUUCAGCCAAUCAGUAGAUUCAACCUUCAAGAGUUUAAAUGUGGUCUAGCUUGCUGCAGUCUAGGGAUCUACUAACAAGAUAGCCAUCAAAGACUCAAGUUCUCCAAACAAAUGUGGACUAGCUUGUUGCAUGUCGCCUCCCAUGCAACCCAGGGGGAAAGGCCAGUAUCACUGAUGGAACUAAAAACAUUUAAUCCACAACUAGGUUUAUAUAAAGCUUUCCUUGCCAAGGGGACAACCCACAAUCAAGGAAAGACAUCUUAGUUACUAUUCCAGUUAAAUUUGCCAACAGAAGGAUGAAAAAACAAUUUGCCAAAACGAAAAAAUAAUAGAACAAACUAGAGGUGGAGCAUUUAAUAUUAAACCAAAAAUUUGUUAUUUUUAACUUGAAUAGUUUGUCAUUACAAGAGAACUCAAUUUUCAUAUUUGAAGACAUUAUAGGAGCAAAGACCAUAGUAUACAUUAGACCGCAACACUAAAUGUUCAAUAACAUUGAUCUCUUGAUCAGACGUUGAAGGCACUGGCCUCAUAACUAAAACCAAAGGCGCGCCAUUUUACAGUUACAACUGGGGUAGUACUAGUUGAAGAUGCACUACACAUGAAACUUACUCAUCCUGGAUGAUGAUGGCCUCCUCUGCCACUCCCCAGCAGCAGCUGACACGUUUGUCCCCACAGAAUGAGGGACAACAGCUCUGCAAUGAAAAAAAGUGAUGAAAAUAAAGCCCAACCUGAUAAAAUUAGUAUUCUAGUAUGUUGACGUUUGAAGAAAAGAAUGUAGAUAUUUUGGGAGAUGGUGGGGGGGGCGGUAAGUUUAUGACAAGAUAAAUUUAACUAACAUUAAUCAGUAGCCAUAAACUACAGAUAUCUUCUUGUACAUAAUUUUUCUGUAUCUCACCUACAUUGGGUCGUUUUUAUUCCCCCUUCAGUGCUUUCCUCAACUGACAGAAGAAUAGGAAGCAAGCACAUCCCACACGUAAAAAAGAGCAUAUAUUAAUUAAUCAUCAGGUAGUUAGAGCUAGUACGGUUAAGAACCUGGUCCAUGAAAAAGUCAUCCAAAUGUUAGCCCUCUAGUGGACCAACAACAAUGAGAUUACAAUUGCAAAUGAUUAUGGUGACCCGAUGGAGGAUUUAUGUUAUAUAGUAGGAUUACUGGAAGACGAAGGCUCUGUAUGGAGUUUGCUUAAAAUUUGCUAUCCAAGGGGUUGCUCCUGCUUUGUAAUCUCACUCAAACUUGCACAAAUUAUUUUUUACCACAUUGUCAUUAUCCUGAAUAUAUAAAGAUGACACAACUCAAGUUGCUUAAGUUCGUUUAAGGAACAUGCUAUAUUUAAUAUGAACUUCGUAACGCAAGAUCAGCUGAUAUUUUCUAGUCUACUAGGCCUGAGAUUUGGAAUUCACACUUCCCAGGCAACACUGCUUAUGUUUUUUUAAAAACCAAAUUGUGCAAUCUGUGUAACUCAUAUUAGGAUCAAAGGCAUAGGAUGACAUAAAUCACCAAAAAUGAUACCUAUGAAUUUCAAAAAAAAUAACACACAAGAGUUUAUAUUUUUAAAACAACGCACCCUGCAUCUGACUGGCAGUUGAUACGCAAGAAACAGAUAACAUUUUUGAAUGUGUUCCUUCAAAUAAAUUCUAUAGCUUGGUCCUAAAGGUGUGUGUUGUGAACCAAAUGUAAGGUCUGAAGUCAGCUAUUCAUUAGAGAUUUUCAUCCCAGGCAUGUCUUUUCAGUUGUUCCAUCCUUUAAGGCUUAUCUUUCCCCCCUCAUAAGAGGGCCCAAAAGGUAUAGCUUUCAAAUCAGUACAAGCCGUCAAUCUCUCUCUGAACAGAAAGAAUAUUCAAAAGGGCGCGAUCUAAUAGGGCUUCCAUAUUAUUCAUCUUCAUUGCAAGCAAUAUCAUUCAUCUUUUUUCUACUGCCCUGAGAGCCUGAUUCAAUGUUAGGCUACGGAACUUUGUAAAUGAUUUCUUUUUCAGAAUAUUGAGACCUUCCUUUUAGUGCCUCAGAGGCAAACAAAAAGGAAAGCAGUGAGGAAAAGAACGAGAAGAAAAUUGUUUGAGAAACAAACAGGGUCUUGAGUGAGUUGAGGGUGGACCCAAAGCAUGGAACAAGGUUAGAAAAAUUGGCAAGGCAUUCUCAUCCCUUUAUCUCCCUUGCCUUCCUCCCUUUCUAAGAUUUAAGCACCUCUACUUUAAGAUUGAAGAAACUGCACCAGUCCACAUCCAUGGUUUCCAUACAGAGAUUGAACUAAGAGUAUCUUUCAAUUUAUGAAAGAGGAAAGAUUACAAAGUUGAGCUGUCUUGGAAUCAAAGAACACACCAAAUGCCACACUGCCAUUUCUCCACCCCAUUAGCUACUCUGUUAAAUCCAGAUAUCAAGUGUUGUGACUCCAUUCUUGCAGUGGCAUUUACUCAAACUAAAAAACGCAUGACAGGUGAGGCUUGAAGGAUGAAAUUCUCUAGAAAUCUCUUCAGUUAUCUGCUACUGCAGAAUGUUUUUUGCAUGGCUAAUAUUCUAAGAAAUCCUGUUCUCCAUUCUUUAGAAUGAGAGUGAUAGAAAUCACAUUAAUGGAAUCAUCAGAAAGGUCAAGUGCAUCCCACAUACUCUCUUUUAAGGUCCCCAAGAAGAUUGUGAGACAAAGAAAUAGCUGCAAGGCCUUAUCCCCUUUACCGCCUCCAUUCCCAAAACUACCACCUUGAUGUCCUAAAAUCUUCUUUCAAAAUCCAUGGCCUCCGGUUCUCCAGUCCCCUGAAUAUAGUUUCUACCUAUGCUUACUGGGAUUUUAAUGCUAUCUUUCCAACAGUACUGCCAUUGAUGCUAUUGCUUCCAUUUUUCGAAUGCACUACAUGAAAGUGGUGGUGAUCUUAUUUCCAUCCUACCAGACUGUCCUCAAUCAACAGAACCAUGCAAUCUACUCUCUCACUACUCAUAUCAACUACGCUAUCAACAAUACAACAUAAUAUUUAAAGGUUCUCUUAAAACAAAAUUAGAUUAUUACUUGAUGAAAAAUUUGUAAUCAUCAUAAUUAAUGCUGUAAUAAUAAUUUACAAGCCUACUCCCUCCCAUUUUUUGAGUUAAAUUUGAUAUGUUUAAGCUUUAAGUAAAGAGAAAACCAUUAGUUAAAAUUUUUGUGCAGGCAUUUAAUACUUCCAGCUUAUAGAUAAAUUAUCUUUGUAUGGAAGUGAUCAACAGAAUGUGCUUUUUUCAGGUCAAAACUUUAUCCAUUUGUGGAAAUAAUUAAAGAAAUUAAGUGCUUACCUUGGAACAGGUGCAUAUGAUAAGAGUCAUCCAGCUCCAUCCCUCUGGUGAAUAAGUUGAUGAACAUUCAGCAGCUUCAUGCAGAAAAUACAAUAAUGGAGGCAUCAACUGCAUCUCAUAAUUUCGUGAUGAACCACAAAACUUGCAGGUGCCGCAUUCAGCCAAGUCAGUUGUAGCCAAAAGUGGAUUACCACCAUAUGAAUACCUAUGGAAUAGGGAAGUAAAGGACAAGAAAAAACAUUUAGAUUUUCAACGACAAUCAAACAGAAAUACAAAAAAAAAAGAUCAAUCCUCAAAAAUCAAUGGGGCAGAUGUUAUACGGAGGAUUCUUACUGUUGCUUCUGAUCAACAUCAUAAACUAAUAUGAAAUCAAAAAUCAUUUUUUUGAGGUUAUUUGCCUCAUCAAGUAAAUGUAAAAUAUAUUGCUUUAAUGGUUUGAUAUGAUGUUGUGCAUGAUUUAUGGUCUAAAAGCAUCCGAAUUUGUUGAAUUUUGGUUACACAUGUUUUAUGAUGUCUAGCUCAUGAUCAGUGGUGUAGAUUUCAAUUUAUGUGUCUUUUCAUAUAGUUUAGAAAACUGAUAUUAUUAACACUAUCAUUCUUAUGCUCACAUGAUAUGGACUAGAGGCCUCAAAAAUACAUGAUCUUUUGUUUCUUAAUGGUUUUUGUUUUUGUUGUAUAGGUUAAUAGGAUUGAGACCUCAAUCCUUUCAGAAGGAGAGUAGACCAAUUAUAUAUAUAUGCGAGUGUGUGCGCGGACGUACAUAUGUAUCCAUGUAUUUAUGUACGUGUAUAUGUAUGCAUAUAGCAUGAAAAGCAUGAGUUGAGCACCUUGGAUCUGUCAUUUUUGCCCAUGUAGAGUGUUUCUUAAAAAAAAUUGUUUUGUAAACUUUAGAAACAAGUAUUCAAUCACGAAUAAAAAUGUGCAAAAAUACUUCACCAUGCAAAUAAAUUCUGCUACUCACUCUUUGUGAUCCUCUCUUUCCCACAUAGUUUGUUUCUUUCUCUUCUUUCUAUCCCACUCUCCACCCCACCUCCUCUUCCACCCAUCUGAUCCAAUGCCAUAUCUCGCACCCACUCCCUCCAACAUCCUCUUCAAUCCAUCCAAUCUGACACCAAGUCCACAUUCUCCUUCUGAUCCAAGCAGAAUAGCUUUGCUCCAUCCUAACAUCUCUAUUCUACAAGGAGAAAGGUUGGAUCUAUUGUUGCCGAGCUAUCCAAAUUCAUAUUGACUCAAACUUAACCUCAAAGCAGUUGUAUAUGAUUCUUUCCCUCUCUGACAAUGGUUAUAUGUGGUGACCCACGCAAGGACACAUGAUCCAACUUUCUCUCAUUCCAUAUGCCAACAAUGCCACAGCCUCCUCAUUUUCUGCCAACUAACACUAAUUAUCAAAAGGAAAAGCAGACAGGUGGAUGUUGUCCUCCCACUAUCAUCUAGUUUUGGGCAAUAUAGUAUUUCCACUCCCCCCGAACUGCCAUGCAGAUGUCUAUCUACUUCAAUUAAAAUGACAAGACAAUAUUGAACAAAUUAAAUAUGAUUACCCCUUGCACUGCAACCCCUAACAUCCAAAUAUCAGGUUAAAAUUGACUGACUUGAGCAUCUAUCAGUAAAAAUAAAUUUAUAUAUGAAAAACUAUUUAAGUUGUAUGACGUAGUAAAUUAAUUAUUCAAAAAACAUGCAAAAUAAAUUAAUUCUUAUUUCAUAUUUAGUUCCCAUGACUGUAUAUAUUUAGUUAUUAAAAAAAAACAAGACAUCUUUUUAUUUAAUUGAUUUUUUUGGUUCAUAUGUCCUUCUAAGGCCCCUCUAGGUGAUCGAAGGAUGCAACAUGUUAAAUGCACAAUAUAUCACAUGCAUCACAAUUGCUAGAUCUUCAGGUCCUUGACAGAAUGAAAGCAACCCCAUGGAUAUGUUUGCUGAAUGGAUGCUACAAUAGGCUUUAUACAUGCUAUAAUGCAGUACAGCUAAACUCGUAUACAUCUUGACAAAAUUAAAACCCCUCUACAUUAUUUUUUUCUUUUUUUACAGAAAUUAUCAUAAGGAGACAAUAUCCAGAUCUGAGUGUUAACAUAACAUCAUAUUAGCAGCAUUUGGCUCAUUCUGGCAGCAUAGCAGUUGGUUCUUGUUCCAUGCUUAGUGUUCUUUUUUGUAGGGGGUCACUCUUUCCCAAUUUCCCUUAACACCCCAAACCUUGCUGCAUGCAGGAUUUGAACCCGUUUUGUAGUACUCAGAGGACUUUACCAACUUGGUGAGCUGACACCUUCCACGCUUAUUGUUGCUUGAGCAGCAGUUUUUGUAAAUGUUGGAAAAUGAUUUUCAUGUGUGUAUAAUGUUUGCACAUUUGGUCUCUUACAUUUACAGCAAGUUGCUUACCUGGUAUCAAUACUCCACCUUUUUUGCAACCAUGUUUGUGCAGUUAAACCAGAUGGCAACUAGUAAGAAUUGCUAGAAUAGAGGGGGUUUGGAAGAUAGACUCAUGAAUGAUAGAUGGUCUGCCAACUUUGAUAAUUCAUGAAUGUGCAACAAAGACCAGAAAGGGCACUAACAUGAGUAGCCUAGAGUUAUGUUGAAUAGCAUGGAAGAAUAAAGCGAGGACCUAAGAACACUUGGACAGAAGCUGUGAGAAAAGUUUUUGAAAUAGCUUUUAUUGAAGGCGCACAUGAUGCUUGAUAGGAACAACAAUGCAGGAUAUACAAAUUGGACCAUAUAGAUGGGACAGAGAUUAUCAAUCAUGUUACGUAUAUGCUUGACCUUUCAACAGGGAAGCAAUGACAAAAGGUGCCAUUUAAGAUGAUAUUAAUUGCUGACCUUAUGAUUUGAAACAGCACAUUGAUUUAAAAGCAAUAGUUGCUAACCUUACUGAAUGCAACAAGAAAAACAAUUUACGUAUCUGCUAAUAUAAUAUAGAUGACAUCAAAAAGCAACUGCGAGAAAAAAAAAAUGCAAUGCUAAUUUAUGCCAAAAAAUAUGCAGGCUACCUCAUCAUUUAGAAUCUGGAUACAGUGGCAUCUUACUGAAAUCAAGGAUUUAGAUCUCAUGGUAUAAUAUUGUGCCGUUCACUGGUCGGUACAAUAUGUACUACUGUACAUAGCGAACCAACAAUGUCUACUGGCUGGUAGCAAAACUAAAGAAAAGGGUUGUACAAACUAAAAACACAUUUGAGCUUGGUACCGAGCAGGAUCGAAUUAGCACAAGGUUGGUAUAUGCUGGUUUGCCCAUGAGUCAAUCCCAAGAGGUGCCAGGUACUGGUUCUUGGCCAGUACGGUAUGGUACAGACCAGUAUGUCCCACUGUUGGAAUCCUUGAAUAGGAAAUAUAUUGGCAAAAGAAAUUGCAUCAAAGCUAUUUAAGCCACAUGUGCAUAUAAAGAUGUGAUAAGCUAACUCAGAAUGCUUGUCAAAUAUGAAACAUGCGGAAUGGAAGUAAAGCAAAAGGCAACUUGAGGAGAAAAUAGAAAACGCCAACACCACCAUCAUUUUUCUGCAACACUUUCCAUAACUCAUCAAAUUCCUCGCCUUUGUCAGCCUCUCUUAUUACCCUUUUUGAGUUAAUUCAAGAUCGAAAUCUUUCAACUCAAAUGUCUUUAAUUGAAUUUUACUUGAUCGAGUAAAUUUGAUAAACAAGAGUCACAUAAAUUACAAUACCUGAAGCAUUGCUCCGGAUGUGCAUCCAACUGUUUCUUGAACUUCAAAUAAGUCCUAUCAGCACCCAAAGCUCUAUCAUAUUCAUAUGUUUCUCCUUCCCACUUUUCCUCAUCUUCAGUAUCGGUAGCAGUGCUCUGCUUUUCUUUAAUAGAAAGUGAGGAGUAGCUAGCACAGAUAGCAUCUUUGUCACCAGUGGAUUGCUCCUUCUGGGAGUAGAUAUAAAAGCAAGGCACAACUGCAAUCAUAAAAGCAACAGUAAAUGCAACUGCCACAACUUUGUGCAGUUUGAAAAUCUAAAUGCAUCAUAAUUUUGCAAACAACUUCUUCACCCACGCAGGGCAAACAAAAACCUGAAGUUCAGCUUUAAGACUUGUCUUUGUGGUGCAAGAAAGGUCCGGGAAAAAAGGUCUAGUUUUUUUUUUGUGCCACAAAAAAGUCUAAAUUUUCACAGUUAUUGUAAAUGAAAAGAACUAGAUGUACCAGGCAUACUGAGAUCAUUUACUCUAGGCUUAGUUCCCAUGGCUUUCACAGUAGAACCGGAAUGUUUAGAAGUGCUUUGUUUCUUGGAUUGAGAAGCCAGGGAAGAAGCUUCUGAAAGAGCCCGUGCAAACUCCUGCAGAUCCAUAUCACUGUCACUCUCAUCUUCCUCUCGUCCAGAACCAGUAACUGACGAGUCCUCCUCCAAAUAGUUGUUGGUUCUCAAAAUGGGAGCAGGAUCUUCCUCCAACGGCUUUGCUACCUGCCCAUUACCAUCCAGCUGCAUCUCACUAUGACACUUCUGAACUCGAAGAGCGCGCCAGCUGCAAAAGAUUGUUCCACCCAAAACUUUAAAAGUAUGACAGCCACAAUUCAUGGCAACCAAAAACGGAUCGAGCUGAACCUUUAGGAACAAACCUACGAGGAUCACUCCCACAUUUCGGCAUUGGGCAACCAAGAACAUAGAUCACACGCUCUUCAAGAUUCAAUUUUGGCGACGAAAUUGGAGCAUAAACCUGAAAUGAGACGCGGAAAAAGCAAAAAAAAAACACUAUAAAUCACACCAGACUGAAACUUUUCCCGAAAAAAGGAUAGCUUUUACAUGGCUUGGUUUAAAAUACACAAGAACUGGCCUGUGCCACCAGACAAAGACUCCUCCCGCACAAACUACACCGAAGAAGAUCGUCCUUAAUACCCAAAUCUGGAGUAGGCCAAUCCUGAGGGGAAAAAUAAAACAGAUGAUAUAUCUCAGAUCUUGGCAGCGUAAUUGGCACCCGAUUGUAAAAUUUCGACGCGUGCAAGGGAAUCUUCCUCUAAAUUCAUCAAAAUUUGGCUCUACUUACCGGCAAUCCACCAAUCUUUGUUGUGUAAUGAUCGGCUUUUUCACGACAGUCCUCUGCCCAAGGCCCUGGCAUGCCCAGUAUGAUUUCCCCCAUCUUUUGGCCUUCUAAAACUCAGAAAUCUUUACUUGAAAAGAUUAAAGAUACCAGCUUUUUAAGUCCUAAGCCUCCAAAUUAGAGAGAGAGAGGAGGGCGGCGAGGGGUUUAAGGGGAGGCGAGUAGUUUGGUAGGGUUCAACCCGGUAUCACGACCCUCCGGUCCAGUGUACCAGAUUGCGACACGUCAGCGAAUUGUGGAUCCGACGAAGAUGAGGCGCACACCACAGGGAGAUGGGGGUAGCGAGGGUAAGAUUCCGGUCACCAGCCCAAUUCCAUAAAGCCAAAUUUAGAUUUUUUUAAAAAAAUAUUUUAAAAAAUAAGACUUGCUUCCGCAUAUUAUGGGACUAAAAAAGGAAGAGUUUUAAAAUACUGGACACAUAGAGGAUAAGAUUAAUCUUGAUUUUUUUGAAAUUUAAAUAUCUUUAUAAGUUAAAAACUCCAACAAUCUAUACAUAUAUUAUCUACUUAAUACAUACAUAGUAGUAUAGCACUUAGUGAUAUAUACAUGCCUUUUUAGGGUGCAUCCGAAGAAGCAACUUUUACAUAGCAUUUAUUUGAAAUUAUUGUUUCAUACAGAGUCAUGAGUUUUAAUGACUACAAUUAAUGAAAUUGAAUUCUAACCAACUUUUGUUUAUUUCUCAUAUUGCUCCAUCCAACUUCAUAUGCCUACUCCUAUUUACCUCCAGCCUGCAUCCAUCUCCAAGGUGUUGAAAAAAAAAAUGUUUCUUUGUAACUCUCUACAAACCUAGCGAAUUGGAUCAUUUAAGACCUUGAAUCACUUUCUUUCUCUGCAAAUGCAGAAACAUGAAUACUGUUGAGACCAAAGGAUUUGGGAAGGUAAAGUGAGAAGGGAAGAAACAUUCCCAAUUACCCACUUACUUGACCUAACCUAAUCUAUUCAACCAAACUUGAUUCAACUUGAUUUGGGAUUUGAGCCCGAGGUGGUCUUAAGUUGAGGACUUUCUGUCAGAGGUUUAAUCAAGUAAGGUUCUAAGUUAAGAGAUUUUUAACUAGCAUAAGGCUUGUUUGUACUGGCCUCUAACCUGGCGAUUUUUGAGCUGUUCCUUCACUUUUAUUAUAUAAUAUUAAUCAGGAAUAGAACUCGCUCAAACCUACAAAUAUCAUAAAAAUACAGCAAUACUUCCAAUUUAUAUACAUAAAUAUAUAAAUAUAUGCCUAUUUUAUAGAUCAACAUGGCCUAUGCAACUUGUCAAGUAUGGAAAGGUUUUGGAAAUAUAUCUAAUAUUUUCAAUAUGCUACAUCAAGUAUUCAUGUUCGACUAGAUUAUCCAAUUGAUGAUAUGUGAUCAUAGUGGACGUCUCUUCUAACAAUUACUAAAAUUUAAUUAUUAUGCCGAGUGCACCCACAAGAGGCAAAUUGAUUUCUUCCCUUAGUGUAACUAUUAUUCUAUGUUCAAUCCUUAACUAUUUUUCAUUGUCUUGCUUAAGAUUAGGAAUGGCAAUGAGUCAAGCAUGGGUCGGAUAUGCUAUUAUCUAUACCCGUCCAGUAUUUGCUUUGAGGCAGGGUAGGACAAGUAGAGCCUCAGGACGAGGAAGGACGGAUAGAGUUAGACAGAGCAUGUUCGACAUAUCCAAUCGAGUAAAGCUAUAAAAAUCAAUUUUUUUAUAUAAAAUUCUUCUCUUUUUUUUUGUCUUGGAGAGGAAAUUUAUACCAUUACCCCAAUCUGUCCCCUAGAUCCAUUGUGGUUCGGUAAAAUCCGCCUCAUUAGGGUAGGGUAGGAUCGGAUACCUGAUGGAAUAGAGUAAAUUGCCACCUUUCUUUAUGAUUGAUUUCAUGGAAACUUCUAUUCAGGCAAUGGGCUAAAAGUAUAAUGGAAUAAAAACCAGCAGCUAGGGACAAGAAAAAGUUAGUAGUUAACAUGUCUUAAACAUAAAUUGGCAGUAAAACCAAGGUGCAGAUCUCAAUUUUCUUCUCUGAAUUUUGAAAUUGGAAAUGUCUUAAAACAACAGAUUACGGCAAAAGAGAAAAGGGGAAAUGCCUUUAAAACACCCACGAUUAAAUGACCACAGCCACACUCUUUCUCAAAUUAUCUAGCGAGCAGGUAAAUUUUUUGGCCUCUUUUGUGGGUACCUAAUCUAAAUUCUAAUACCUUGCCUCUUUGAAAUUAUUCUCCCUUGCUUAAUAGUAAAUACAGUGAGAGAUUCAAUUAAUUACGCGGACUUAAGAUACAGUGAUGUUUCCUUCCAAUACUAAAUCCUUGUACUCUCCACCUCUUCCUUCUUAUCUUCGCGUUCCCUUCCAAUCUCCCUCUACAAACGUUUCUCCUUCGUUGCUGAACCCCGGUCAUUCUUAUUCUCCCAAAGAAAAAAAAAAAACUCCGAGGAAAAAUUAUAGGAAAUCAUGGAAGAUCACAAAGAGGUGAGCUUCUAUCCUAAAUCACUGGCUCAUUUUUUUUAUUUCUUAUGGCUUUCGGAUCAAAGUUCCUCCUGUUUUUCCUACCGCAUUUCCUUUAUUUUUUUCAGUUUAUAUAAUAUGUUAGCAAUAUCCCAUUAAAUAAAUAAAAAAAUAUUCGCUAAGGAGUGUUGAGGAGUAUUCUUGAGAAGAUUUGUUAUUUUUUCGUUUUUCUUUUAUAGCAAUUUUUCUUUUCUUGACAGAAUUGUAGAAGUGCAUUUUUCAAAUUUAAUUUUUAAAGCUCCAUAUUUUUGUUUAUUUACUGAUUAUUUUAAAAAAAGAAGACACCAUUAGUUUUUGAAUCAAAUAAUGGAGCAUGCUAUAAAUGUUAUACACGUCUAUCAAACAAGAUGAUGUUAUAUACUAUCCACGGUGCAUCAUUGUUGAUAGCCAUCCAUCUCUAGAUGUGACCAUGUUGUAAGUCUAAGUAAUACUAUGAUAAACAGGACCGAUCUUGGUAUCAAGGAAAAGUAGAGGUGUGUCUAAUGGGAUAUUAACCAAUCUACAAUUAUUUUUUUAUAAUUUUUAUCCAAUCAACAAAAGUUUUUUUUAUAAAUUAUGUUAAAAUAAUUUUAGGGAUUACGUAACAACUUGCAUCACUCAUAAUAUUUUUUAUAAUUUUGAUUCUGUGUCAACCUAUAUUAGUUUUCUCCAUUAGCAUAAUUUUGUUAAAGUGAUUUUAGGAAUCACAUAACAACCUGUAUGACGUAUAAUAUUUUUCAUUAUUAAUGAGAUCCUAUAUCAGCGUAUAUUAUUUUCUAUGUAUGAAAUAUAUAUAAUUUCUAAGAAGUACCAAAUAUGAAUAAAGAAAUAAAAAAAUAAAAUUAUUUUUCUUUUUUCUUUUAUUUUUCUUAUGUUCCCCAAAUGUUUUUACAAAUUAUAUGCUAUUUACUUACCAUUAAUGUAUUUUUUUCAGUUUCAAUUUUUAUAUAAACUCAAGAUCUUUAUAUAACCAUCUACAAUCUGAACCGUUGGAUGGAUGGCCUCUAAUUUCUGAAAUCUAAAACAGACAGUCGUGAUUUAAAUUGGCAGGGCAAUGGACGGAUAUCAGUGCCCGCGUUUGGGGAGUGGGAGCACAGGAAUAGUUUGCAGUAUCACUCGAGGGAAUUCUUCCUGGUACGAGAAACCAGGCAACAAAAGAAGGCCACCUUCGCCCCGGCAAACGUGGACGACGACUCUGACCUUCGUGGGAAUCAGCAACAACGUCAUCUCAGCCAUCCACGUGAUCAUCGUCGUCACCGCAAUCGUCGUUUUCAAAGGAUCCGUCCCCGUAACAGAUUCUCGUACACCGUAAGUCCACCGCGUAUAUCACUUUGGGUUUGAUAAUUUAACUUGGUUUUAGGUUGAAAGCUGUUCUAUUUUGAGCCAGCUUGACUUUAGUAGGGUUCGAGUUGUAUCUUUUGUAUGAAAGGAUGGCCGAUUUUCUUUCACAACUUUGAUUGUUGGACCACAUCCAAUGUAGAUCUCAAAGUAUUUUAAACCUCUUUAUUGAUCAAUCUGCUAAUAUUUCAAAAUGGUUAUUGUGCAAUCCAAUAGUGCAUUCAUGCAAAGAAAGCCUAGUUUAGUAAGUUUCCUAAUUUAAAGGGCUGCAUGGUAAUAGAUUUUUAUGACAAAUUUUUUGGAACUCAUUUAGUUAGGAAAUAAGACAAGCUCCAACAUAUUUUAAAGCUAAAGAAUAAAAGUAGGGUUUAGAUCGGCAACAAGCACAUCUUAGAUAACAAAUGGGCCAAACUUAAAAAAAUGUUUUUGAGCUGACUAUAACCAGGAUAAAAUUUAACCUAUAGGCUUCCAUGCUUUGGCAUGAUACAUUUUACGAAUGGGGUUCUCUACACUGCUACUUUUGCACUAUAAUAUUAUGGAUUGCCGCCACAUCAUCUAUCUUGAAGAUGGGCAGCUUUUCUUUAUCUCUGCUCAUGUUGUGCAUCACUGGAAAGUGCGUAAACAAGUUCACGGGAUAAAUGAGAGCCAUCCGUCUCUGAGAUGGAUGACAUGACGGCUAUCCAUAAUGAUAUAGGACCAUGUGGUGCAAAAGUUGUACCGCAGAAAACCCAAACUCUGUAUUUUCAUCAGCUGAAAUCUCUUCUCUUCAGAAAGUUUCGGCUGAAAUUUGGAGACAGGUUAAAUGUUGUAGACCUAUAACUUUGGCAAUUUGAGUUGGAUCGUAAGUCAACACAAAUUCAACCAAAUGGUGAAACUCAGCUAUCCAAAUUCUAAUUGGUCCAGGUUGAUAGUUAAACUCAAUCACUUGAACCCGAGCCCAACCCACCUGUAUAUUUUUCAAUCCAAAUUAGGUAUAGGUUUGGGCCAAGUUAGAUCAUGUUAGGCUAGGUUUGAUCGAUCGUGGUUUCAUUUGAAUUAGGAGCCCAUCCUACACAUGGCAGGUUCACGCUAUUAUAGGCAGUAAGAAAACGAUGGGGAUUAAUCUAUGGCCUAAUCUCUAUGAAUUGUUUUGGAGACAAUGACGAAGAUCAUGAGCUACUUCAUAAAGCUGAAGAACACAAGCUGCUUCUCUGGCAAAGCAUGAGAUGACAUGCUUAUAUUCUCCCUCAUUAAGGAGCAAGAGAAUCUUGCUGCUACUACUGCUGCUGCUACCGAGAAAAACAAAAACGAAAAUCUUUAAACAUUUGCUUUUAUUGAUCAUUUUUGUGUUUGUUGGUUCAUUAGCUUCACAUCCUAGUAAUUAUUGAUGCACAACUUGUAAAUUCACUUAUGUUAUAUAUUAUUGGCAUUUGGCAUGUGCAAUGCACAUACUUUAUUCAAGAGAAGAGUGAAAAUGAAAUAGGUAUGAAGGACCCUGACAACAUUAGACACCAUGCGAGGAUACGUAGUUCUUAUCCAUUGAGAAAGUAUCAAAGAUUUCAUGAGAAUAGAUACUGUGCGAAGGCUUUAAUAAAAGAAUCCGGAAAAUAAAACAUUAGGGCUUGAGUUUGGUCAGGAGUGACCGAAUUCUAAAACUUUUGCAUCACAUAUGAUAGAAAUAUGUUCACCAUAACCUGCCCCUAUUUCUCCUAGGUCCAAUUUUGUGUUUGCAACUGUUGACCUGUUUCUAGGUAAAAAUUUGUGAUGGCAAAUCUAAUAUUCUUUUGUCGACAACUAAUGAAAGCCCAAGGGAUUAAGGACGCACAACCAAUUUUGUGUCUUCUUGCCUACCCUCUUGCCUGAAACUCUUCCUUACAUAUUUCUCUAGAUUAAUAGUACAUAACUUUUUUGGCUACCUAUAAUCUCUAUAUUAUUCCACAAAAGCAACUGAAUAAGAUCAAUGAGGCAACCACAAUUCAGAUCAUCUUUGAUCCGAAAUUAUGGGAGAGAUGUAGAGCGAAAUGGUGUUUUCCCCUGUUUGGUAAGUUCAUAGGUAGGAAUGCUAACUAACAGUCCAUCGAGCUCCUGUGAAAUCAUGGUACGUGUUGGGUGCUAAGUAAGGGCCCGUUUGGCUGUAGGUAAUCUAGUAUGGAAAAAUAAAUUUUAUGUUAAAUUAUUAUGUUUGGUACGAAAAGUGAAUGAUAAAGAAGGUAAAAUAAAUGGUGGGUUCUAUAUUUUUUUAAAAAUAAAAUAAAAUAAAUAUCACUAGGGGCGAUAUUUAUUUUUCUCUAUUGGAUUACUAAGUGAGCAUCACCUUGUCAUGAAAAUACCCUCACUUAUAUUAUAUUAAUAUCAUAUUAAUUAUAUAAUUAAUAUUAAUUUUUUAUGAAUAAUAUUUAUAAAUAAUAAAAUAUUUAAUAUAAUAAUAUAUUUAUUAAUAAAUAUUGACUAUUAAUAAAUAUUGACUAUUAGUAAAUAAUAACUAAUUAUUUAUUAAUUAUCAAUAAAUUUAAUAUAAGAUUUAUUAAUAACUAAUAUAAUUAUUUUAUACAAAACAUGCUAAAAUAUAUUUAUAAUAUAUAUAAAUAUAAUUUUCAUAUAUGUAUAAUUAAUUUAAAAUAUAUAUUGGCUCAUGUAAAUAUAUUUUCAUAUUUAAAAUAUUUUAGUAUAUUUUUAUGUAAGUGGGUCAUAAAUGACCAAUAAAUAGAGUAAGAAAUAAAUGUUAUUACUUAAAUUAUUUACUUAAACAUAUUGUUGGAAAUUUAACAAUAUUUCUACAAACCAUUAUCUCUAACUAAAUAUAGUAAUUUUUUCUAAUGUUAUUUUUAAAAAUAAUUUUUAUCAACCAAAUAUAAUUAAAUUUAUUUUUCUUUAUAAUUUUUUAUAUAAAUAAUUUUUAUAGAUUAUCUGUAAUCUAGCGAAUCCUAGCCAAGAGAAUCCUAGCAGUCUUUAUACCUAUUGGCCAGCUACCACGGACCAAUCAUUGCUCGUGAGAGCGUUUGGAGGAACCGUGGGGAGUGGAAAAUAAAGGAAAUUUGGAAGGUCAACGGAACAAGGAAGAGGAGCACCAGACCAAACCCGGAGAUUAGCUAAAAUUUAGCGCGCCAACGUUGGCCACACCUACUCCAUACGUCACGGAUGUGAUGUAACGCUUUUUAUUAUGAUUUUUUUUGGCAAGUACUUUCUAAAAAUCAAAUUUUGUAUGAAUAUUUUUCAAAAUUAAUAUUUACCUCAAACACUUAUUUUACUAUUUUUUUUUUUGCAUACGUAACUAUGCCACCUAAUACUAUUAAAAAAUUAACGGUUUCUAAUUAAAAUAACUAAAAUAUUCCUAAUAGGUAGACACGAUCGUCUGCAGGACCGCGAUCACGAAUGCCUGCAGGCGAACGUCCGUGGGAUCGCGAUCCCGAUAGUAAGAAAAAAAAGAUAGAAAUAAUAAUCUAAUUUCAAAUUUUUAUUUUAUUUUUAAUUAAUAUAAAUAUGAUUUUUUUUAGUACCGUUGGAAUAACUGUCUUAUUAGGAGCAUUUGUACAAUAAUAGUGUGUUAUAAAAAUAUACAUAUAAAUAUCAAUUUUGAAAAUAUAUUUAUAUAAAAUUUAAUAUUUAAAAAAAAUAUUCAUGCAAAAGAAAGAAAAAAAUUAUUAUUUGCCUCAGCUUAUAUUCUGCCGGGCCUGGUACGGUUCUUAGAUUCAGCCCACUUCGCGUUUGCGUGUAAAGUUGGAGAAUACAUUUGCACAGACUCUUUGUAAGAAGGUUAGCGGUUUUAAAAUUAAUCAUAAACUAUCUAAAUUUAAAAUUAACAUGAUUGAAUAAGAUCUACGCUUUAAAAAAUAUCUAAAAACUAGAAUUCAUAUAUUUUGAUGACUUUUAAUCUAUGCAUCAAAAUAGUAAAAAAAAUAAAUGGUAUUAAUUACACUGUAUCGUAAACUAGAUGGUGAUAUAUAUAAGUUGAAAAAUGUACUUUAUGAAUCUUGUUUUACAUAUUCUAAAACAUAGAUCAAUUCAAAUUUACUUUAUUCUAAUGAUUAAAUCAUAGCAAAAUAUAGUAGUUUGCCUACUUAGUAAUUAUGUUAGAGACCAUCAAAAUGCAUAAACUAUAGUUUUAAAUAUUUUUAUAAUAUUGAUCAUGUUCAAUAAUUUCGGAUCUCGAAUUUCGAUAGUCUAUCAUUAAUUUUAAAUUAUUAACUUCCUUUUUAAUAAUUAAUGUAAAAUGUGCAAUUCAACUCUCUCUCUCUCUCUCUUCUUUUUAUAUAUGUACACACACACAUAUUCCCAAACAUGAUUUGUUUUAUACGAAGAUAUUUACAUUUAAAUUGGUGCCUGAGGUUAUUUAGAGUAUUCUGAAGCGUAUCAAAGUAAGUUUCCACAAUAAAAGAAACUAGGCUCAAAAAUAUUGGAAGUGAUUUCCAUGGUGAGUCUAAGUUAUUUUUACCUUUUAGUUGUCUAAAAAGGACCAUUAAUAUCCAAAAGUAAGUUUUUCAUUGAGGGAAGAUCUUGGCUCAAAAAUACAGAAGGCGACAUUGAUGAUGGAGGGCUAUAAUCAAUUCAGCAAAAAUGAGUUCCCACCCAUCCCUUUAUGUGAAAACCGAAAGCCUAACUAAAUUCUCCAAACCCACCUAAUGAAUCCAAGCUAACAUAUACACUCCCUCCAAAAAUAAAUAAAAAGCAUCCAAUCCAAACCAUGACUAUGAUAAUUAUUUUUCACAAAUUUCUUCGCUGUCUAUUUUUUGAGAAAAGAGUUGGGUGUUCACUACCAAGAAGAGCCAAGAUUUUCUUGGCAUCUUGAAUUUGAUAGCUUAUGUGAAAUGCAUGUUAUGAAAAAAUAAAGCAUGUAGGAUACAAAAACAAAGAGAGCAUGUGAAUAGAACAAGAAAGGUUUUAUUGAUAUACAAUUUUUUUAUGCCCACAUGUAAGUUAGAUAUAAUUACGUAUUAACUUCUUAAUUAAUUUUUAUGUUGGCGCAUCCACCCUGGUCAAAUAAGCUUAUACUAGAUGGUGGGGCUUAUGUUGAUUAAUCAUGGGGAAAGAAAUAUAGUUUCCUUAGAUGUUGGGAUGGGUUUUUUUUUUAAUCAAAAUAGUGAAAUUGGAUUUUGAAUUGAUUUCAUCAUAUUAUCGGAUAAAGAUAGUUUGGCUUAUCACAUCAUUGGAUGUCACUAGGUUCAUUGUACACCUGCAACGCCCAAUUUCACCUUUUUUUUAUUAUUAUUUUAUUGCUGUUCGCGCCCGACGGAUGUGAAUAUGGCCAAAAAAAAUUAGAAAAUAAAAAACUACAUAAGAGCACAGACACCGACUUAUGGCUCACCCAGAUAAAGAAUAGUGAGCUGCAUAAGAGGCGACACAGUCUACAACACCAUUUAUCUCUAUGUAUAUAUGCGUGGCUUAAUAGAAGACACACUCCUCUAGCAAUAUACGAGCAUCAUGGAGCAGCGGCCUCUCCUCCCCAUCAUAUUUCUGAUCCCAACCUCACCAUUUUUUUUAACAAAUACACGUAUUUGGUAAGCGUGCCAACUCACGUGCCAAUGAGUCCAUUCGUUCUUGGUGACGUGUGCGGCACUUGGUCCCGAGACUACGAAUUUAUAUCGAUGCGCGUAAACUUCGACGAGGUCAUCAUUUUAUUUCCCUUAAAACGCUAUCAAAUUUGCUUGAAUACUCCUUCAAAUUUAUAUUUAUUUCUAUAUCCUCAUAAACUAUUGUUUUUUAACAAAUGCCCCUAAUAUAAGUAUAACGAUUCUUCUAACACUGUUAAUAACAACUAUAUUUAUUUUAAUUAAAAUAAAAUAAAAUUUUGAAAUUAUUUUUUUGUUUUCUAUAACGAUUGUCUUAUAAAUGUUUCUUUUUGCACAUCUACUCAAUAAAAAUAUUUUAGUUAUUUUAAUUUGAAACCAUUAAUUUUUUAAUGAUGCUAGAUGGCGGGGUACAUAUGGAAAAACAAGAAUAAAAAAAUAGAAUAGCAAAAUAAGUAUUUUAUGAGGAUGUAUAUGUAAAUAUUAAUUUAGAAAGAAUAUUUAUAUAAAAUUCGAUAUUUAGGAGGGGAAAAAAUUUCUUUUCUUCCCAUCUUUACAACUUAGGCCCCACUUUCCGAUUCUUACGUCUCAGUGAGAACAGGGUGUUCGUUGGGUGCAUUAGAAUACGUGCACCCUACGACAACUCUUAUUUCUUAGCAGUCCUGCCAUUUCCCACCAAACCCGAUGUGCUCCUUUGCUCCCCUCUCCACCGAACCGCCCAGAUUUUCUGUGACGAAAAUGCCCUCAAUCUUGGCUACAAACCUCAUCACCAUCUGCCGGCGGCCCAGUGGAUCAAAAUUUUUUUUUUCACAUGCACCCUUAAAAUCUAUCAAAUUAAUAUAUAAAACAUUGCAUCUCAUUUCAUUCAUUUCGUAAAAUUAUUUUUAUACGAGCAUACCAAAUAUCCAGUUAUCUCACAAUAUUUUCAAUAUUUCUGUUUUCUUCUAAUUAAUACUUGCUAUUUUUUUUAUUGUUGAGCAAUGAAUAUUUUCUUUCACUUCAUUAUCUUAAAAAAUAGAAUAUGAUUAUGUGAAAAAUAUAUAAUUAUCAAGUUAUCUUAUACCAAUGAUGAAACUAUUAAUUUUUUUUUCAUAUGUCGUAAAAUAGAUAUGAUAUAUCACUUACAAACAUAUAUACUAAUAAAGUAUAGUAAACCAUGUGUCGACAGCCCAACGGAUUAAAAUUCUUUUUGCGCAUGCACCCUUAAAAUCUAUUAAAUUAAUAUAUAAAACAUUGCAACUCAUUUCAUUCAUUUCAUUAAAUCAUUUUUAUACGAGCAUACCAAAUAUCCAGUUAGGAGAUGAUUGGUGAAACAAACGUUCUCUUCAGCCUCUCAUUAUCCCUUUCCAGCUAUCUCACAAUAUUUUCAAUAUUUCUAUUUUCUUCUAAUUAAUACUUGCUAUUUUUUAUUAUUGAGCAAUGAAUAUUUUCUUUCACUUCAUUAUCUUAAAAAAUGGAUUAUGAUUAUCUAAAAAAAUAUAAUUGCCAAGCUCUCUUAUACAAAUGAUCAAAGUAUUAAUUUUUUUUCAUAUGCCAUAAAACAGAUAUGAUAUAUUACUUACAAACACGUUUACUAAUAGAGUAAUGUAAACCAUGUUAUAAUUAAAAAAAAAUUAUAGUGGAAUACUAAUUGAAAGUUCUUUGCAAUAUAAAAUAGAUUUUAUAGCAACCUCGAUAAUCAAAGAAGUAUUUUACAAAUAAAAACUAUAAAAAAAUAGAAUUUUUUGCAUGAAUAUUCAUCUAAAAAUUCAAAUUUGCGUGAAUACCCUCUUAAAUUUAUAUUUAUUUUUGUACCCUCAUAAAACACUAUUUUCACACAAAUGCCCCUAAUAUCGAUUUUUCUAAAUAAAAACCAUAUUUAUGUUAAUUAAAAAGAAAAUAUAAUUUUGAAAUUACUUUUUUGUCUCCAUUGUGAUCGCUUUAUAAAUAUAUUUUUUUUGCACAUAUAUCCAUUAAGGAUAUUUUAGUUAUUUUAAUUUGAAACUGUUAAUUUUUUAACGAUGUUAGAUAGCGUGGGUACAUAUGCAAAAAUUAGAAAUAAAAAAAGAAUAAAAUAGUAAAAUAAGUGUUUUACAAGGGUAUACAUGCAGAUAUUACUUUUGGAAGGGUAUUCAUGCAAAAUUCGAUAUUUAAGAGGGUAUUCUUGUAAACAAAAUCCAAAAAAAAAUGUUCAUGAAUAUUUUACACACGAGGUGUCUGUUAUUCAAAAAUCCCAUCAUAUCUUAAGGGAAAAAAAAAUCCAAGCAAAGAAAGGUAAUUUGGUAAAUAUAUCGAAAUGCAAGUACUCGAACGUGUCGUGAUCCCGACGAGCGGACUAUAAAUAGCUACCGACUCUCCUCCGCCAAGGCCUCCCUCCCCUCGCUCGCUGCGCUGCGCCUCCCUCCGCCGCUUAUCGUGCGCCACCGUCGCUGGCGAGCUUCCCAAACCCUAGCGUUCUGAGAGAUUCGCCGUUAAAGGCCUCGUCUGGAUCCCUCAGAUAACCCACACGCUUCCAUUUUCAAUUCCCCGGGUCUCCCCCAAUCUCGAAGCCAUGCCGGAUCUCCGGCUCUCCGAUCGGCGGCGGAGCCUUUCGUGGUGAUUUCUGAAGAAAAGGAGAGAGCGCUUUCUCUUAAGUUUUGGUUUCUUUUGGAUUGAUUGAAUGAUGGAGGCGAUCGCGGCUUUAAGCUUGCAGUCGUCUCCUUGGAUCGGUUCUGAGAGGACUGGGAGGAAAACAGGCGGUUUCUUUAGGAUUCCGAGUGGAUUCUCCGAUGAGAGGAGGGUUAAGACGCUUAAAUUGGGAGAUUCGCGGUGGAGUCGAACUGCGGUUGGAUCCAGGCACCUGGAGUUGAAGAUUUCUUCUUCUUAUAAGAAAUCCGGAGGUAAUUUCUUGAAAAAGUAGCUUCCUUUUUUUACUAUUGUUUUGAAUAAUAUGCAUCGGGAUAUUUGAUUCUUGCGUGAAAUUCCAUGUUUUGGUAAGGUUUGGAGUGUGUGAAUAAAAUAAAGGAAGCUUUUUUGAUGCUUGGUCUGGGAUAUUUGGAUUUAGCUAUGCUCUGACUUCGUCCAAACUCCUAGCUUUGAAUGUUUCUUGCUGUUAUAUAUAAGCUGGAGGCUUUUUAAUUAGAGGUAAAUAUUGUGAGAACAUUGUGCGUAUCAUUUCUAUUCUAAAUAGCAAUUGAACAGAUAGGAUUUUUUUAAGUUUAUCGAGAAACGGAUUCGAAGAAUUUAGAAGAAAUGUUCAACCCUGUGGGUCUCUCUAUGUCCCGCUUUCUUGCAAGAAAGAUGGUUCACCUUAUUUCGUUUAUGUUAGCUGUUUGUAAAUAGUUACAUAAGAUUCUCUUGGGCAAAGCACCAUAAUUUUGCAUAUGUUAGCUGUGCACAAAUAGUUCUGUUAGAUUAUCUUGAACAGUUGUGUUGGUUUUUUGUCAUGCUUUUGGUAUAUGUGACCAUGGGGGCAGUGACCAGUUGUGAUGGUUAUUUGGCACGCCUGAUGAGUGGAUAUGGAUCAUAGUGUAAACAUGCUUCUAAAUCUCCCUGUUAUAUGAAUAAUUAGUUGACCAUUUGCAAGUUCCAACCUUACUGCUACAUCCUUGAGCUGCGUCCUAGAAUGAAAAAGGGGAUCUCCUAGUGAUCUAUUUAUCAUCCAUGUUUCUUCAAAAAAAAAAAAAUGAAAUUGCUGUGAUCAGCUAGUCUAAGUAUUAAGCUUGCGGGCAGUGAUGAGACUGCUCUACUCAUUAAAUUUUCAUUACAUUAUUUCUAAAGAAGCCAAUUCUUUUCAACAUGUCAACCCACAGAUUUCCAUUAUCUGUUUAUCCUACUUGAGAUUAUUAUCCUGUUAUCUUUUACAUAUGAACUGAGUUGCACAUAUAGUUCAUUUCAACUAAUAGACAUAUCAGAUUUACUCCAGCUUCCUACCAGAGUAUGGAACUUUCUGCAUCCCCGUGUCUUACACAUGUUGGUCUUUUCCUUUAACAGGCCGCUCCGAUAAACCAAUGCUUGAUACGAUCUUAUUGCUAUUCUUAUUCUUAGUCACUUCAAUUGACAUAAGAUCACUAGUAUGAUUGAUGUAUUUUGGUGAAUUAAAUUUUUCUGCGAGUUAGCUGCUUCUUCUUCUGGAUUAGAUCAUAUUAUUGCACUUGAAUUUCCUUUAGCUGAAAUAUUUCUCAUGGUACAUGGUGAUGGUUUUGUUGAUAAUAUCUAUUAGAAUAUCCUUUUCUAAGCUAAACUAAUUUCUCUUUGUAUUUUAAUGGCAUGUGGGGUCAGAUAACUUUAAUAACUCAGUUGAUGAAGCCCUCAUACUAAAGGUACGAAAUCAUUCUCUAGAUGAAUGGCAGUAAACUUUUCAUAGCUGGGGGAAAGAUAUGUUGUUGCAUUGUUUCUGUCACACCAUCAUCUGAUUCGAUGCCACUAUAAUUGCAGAGAAAGUCGGAAGAUGUUCUUCCGUACUUGAAUGGACGGUGCAUAUAUCUAGUUGGUCAGUUUCUUUUUCCCAUCGAUUGAGCAAGAAAUGGUUGUCAUUGUAACACUCAUGAUUGUUGUAUGCGUUAUUAUAAAGGUUGGCUAUUUGGUUUUAUGCAGGAAUGAUGGGAUCUGGGAAGACUACAGUGGGAAAGAUAUUAUCAGAAGUGUUAGGUUAUUCUUUUUUUGACAGGUUAGUAUUGUAAUCGUGAUAGCAUAAAAGAAUAGUUUUGCCUUGGAGCACUUCGCUCAGAUAAAUCUUUUAGAGCUUAGCUUUAUGUUGUUUGUUUUUUUAUGGGAUAUAAUUAUCCUUUUUGUUGGUGUUGCAGUGACAAAUUGGUUGAGCAGGCUGUUGGCAUAGCUUCCAUUGCUCAGAUAUUUAAGGAGCAUAGUGAGGCUUUUUUCAGAGAUAACGAGGUAGGGCAUUUUGGAAAUUACAAUGACUGAACUGUGGAUUAAGGUUCAAAAUCCCGAUCUUUGUUCUUUUAGCUUGAAUCUCGUACAGGAUAAUUUUGUAAUUGCUAGAUGAUAAAUUAUUCUGCCACCUUCACUAUGGAAUAGCUGACACAAAUGUAUGGGUUAAUGUUUGUUGUCAAUAUGUUCGUUUACCUCUAUAAUGGGAACAAGAAGUUUUGCAAUUUAUUCUUUUCUUUCUCUAUUUGUAUCUCAGAGUAAAGUGCUAAGGGACUUGUCUUCAAUGCACCGUUUAGUUGUUGCAACGGGAGGUGGUGCUGUGAUUCGACCAAUCAACUGGUAGUAGACUUGAUAGAUUAACAUUCUGUCUGUCUUACCUUCUCCGAAGCUAUUUAAACCAAAUUGCUCUGAAAAAAGAAACUAUGUAAAUUGGGUGUUACUUUUUUUGAGUUAUCAGGAAAUAUAUGAAACAAGGGAUAACCAUUUGGUUAGAUGUUCCUUUGGAUGCUCUUGCGAGACGGAUUGCUGCUGUAGGGACUGAUUCUCGCCCUCUUUUGCAUCAAGGAUCUGGUGAUCCCUACAAAAAGGUAGCCAACCUGUCAUUUGAGGGGAGAGGAAAAAGACUAUUUGUUGGACAAUCACAUAUAUAACUUAUUUGUUAUAAUCAUGGUUCCAAGGAGAGACCAUCCAGUCCUUGAGACUAGGACCCAUAUGAUGUUUAUAUAGUUCGCAGGCUUCAUUCAGGCCUUGCAAUUACUUGCUCCCAGUGUCACGGAGACAGUAACUUCUUGGUUGAUUAAUUAUGAACAUCCUGUAUUUGAAGUUCAAAUUCACAGUUAUUGUGGUCGAGACACAUAGCCAACCUGCAAAAAGUUUUACUGGCUAUCACAUAAUGGUUGCUAGUCAACUAUAAAGGAUCAUGGACUAGGUUUAUGUUGCCUGUUGUCAAUGGUUGGAUGUAUACCUGAAUAUACAUUGCUGCAGGCUUUUGUGAAACUCACUACACUCUCCGAACAAAGGGGCAAGGCCUACACCAAUGCCGAUGCAAGAGUUUCCCUUGAAUGUACGUUCAAAAAAUGUGCUGUUUACAUGUUUUCUUCUCUUUUCUUUUCCCCAUUUAGGUCAUGAUUGAGAUAUAUAGUUCAAUUUCAGUUAGGUUUGACAAUGGUGCUCUAUAUGCAUCUUAGAUUUCUUUCUCUCCUUUCGAAAAAUUUUCUUCUUUUAUCUCAAUUACAUGCCCAUCUCAAAGUUGACCAAUAAUUUUCCACUUCCAUGCCUUUUCAUGAUUUGGAUCUUUAUGUACUAUGCUAUAAAUGCAUGCAUUCUAGGGAGCUCUUUGGAUGUGCGCUUAGUCAAAAAAGAAUACCUGUUAACUUGGUUGCUCAUUUUGUCACUUUCUGGAUCUCCUUGAUUUAAUUUACCAAACUAUAUUUCCUUUACUAAUUAUGCAGAUAUAGCGGCUCAACAGGGUCAUGGUGAUGUUUCUGCACUUACACCUACUGCUAUCGCUAUUGAGGUACCCAAUUGUGCUCUGAUGUUUAAACCUUUUUACCACUUGAAUCUUGUUUUUGCAUCCGUUUGACUGGUGGAAUUGACCUAGGAAGCUCUUUAAACCAGAAUAGUGGAUUACUGAUAAAUUUUCUUCUAAUUAAACAUCUCUUUUCUGUUUGGCAGGCACUAAUGAAGAUUGAAUGUUUUCUUAUGGAGAAUGCGGUUGUUAGUAAUAGUUCACACCUUCAGGAAUGAAGGCCUAAGAUUCCCUGGUUCUUGUAGUGUGCCUUCUACCUUUUCACUGAUUGUUCAUUCAAGUGUAGUACCUACAUGGCCCAACCAACUUAAAUGAAUAAACUUGCGUUACAAUGCUCAACAGCUUCAAAAGGGCCUAAUUGGCCCUUUAGUUGGCAUGUUUGUGAUUGUGAUGUGGAAUAACAUAUGCAGGAGGCUUGCAUUCAUCUCAUACUGACCAUAUGUAAGUUCAUUUUUUUUAUAUGAUUGUUAGCAUAAUUUCAUAUUCUGAAACAUUUUCUUGAUGUGUAACUUAAAUUCCUUUUGUUUUGUAGAUCCUGACCUUGGUAUGAUCUUGCUCUUUAGCUGCUGGUAAACUAAACUUAUCAUUCUUUUAAGUCAUGAAUCAAGUGAACUGGGACUUACCCCAAUGGUCGCAUCUCUGUGCUUAAUAAAAGACGAUGGGUUCAAAUUUUGGAAUGGUGCAUCCCCAAAUAUUUAAGCUUGGGAGACGAGUCUCCCUCUCAUUCUCUAAGACAAAAAGAAAAAGCUUAAAUUAAGUUAUAGAUAAGCUUUCAGUAUAUGGUUCUUCACUUAAUGCACCUGUUAUAUGCAGCCAAUGUAAAACAAUUAUUAGUAUCAACCAUCAAAAUAUCCAAGAACAAUCCUUAAUCAAAAAGGGGUGAUCCACCUAGUUCAUUACUCCUAAGAACUAACACGUAGGUCUUGUUUUACUGAUUUUUCUGUUUAAAUCACUAAUAAUCCAGCAGAUAUUUUUCUUUAUAGAGCAAAAAAUGUGCAAAAGAUUCUAUUUUCUGAUACUCUUAUAAUCCCUUCUUAUAAACACUACCUGCAAGCAUUAUUCCAUUCAUAGAAAUUGAUUCAAUUUCUGUGAACCUUUCAUGUAAAAAUUCAAGGCUAGGGCAACAGUAAGGCUUUAAAGGAUGUCAAAUUCUUGUCCAGGGCAACGGCAGCCAAGAAAACAGAUCACCAGUAAGUGCUUGGUUGCAUUAGACAAGUUCCUUCUUAAAAAAAAUUUGCAUCGAACACAACUUUGGAAAGAGCUCUGUUCCUUCUAAUAGAUGGCUGGUUUUCUAAACCUCCCUUUCACUGAAAAUAGAAAAAGAAAAGAAAAAAACAUGAAAGUUCUGACUUCCAUGAUAUGGCUAUGGAGAAGGAAUAAACAGGCGAUUCAUUCAGUAGUUUUUUUGCCAUACAAUCUGUUUUUUCAUAGCAGCAUUCCCUUUUUUCAGGGCAUAGCAGCUUUUCCUCGAUGCCAACUCUAACUUCACCAGCUAGACUGGUUGGCAUCCUCAUCUUUUCCAGAGUUAAUUUACCAAGCAGAAAGAUGCAGAAAUAUAAUUUAAACUAACAACAUCUAUAGCUUCAUAAUGACCGUUGUAACAGUUAUGGGAGCCUCCCAUUGUCUUGUACAACAACGGGCUUCAAGGUCCCAGUCAUCGCAUUAUAAUUGUGGAUAAAAAUAUAACAGUUGUUUAUUAUAUAAUAGGAAUAACACUGUAACAGCCAUUGUUUUCGACAUUUUUGUUCAUUGAAUAAAUCAUACGUUUCAAGUUCAAAUCACAUUGCAAGCUGGAGAGUUUUUUUCAAAAAAGAAAACGAUUGCGAACAAUUAAGCAUAUAACUCUUUUAUUCGAUGCUAUGACAGCUAAUAACAGCCAUUUUGCUGGUUAAAAUUUUAUUCCAACUAAACUUAAUAUUGGGAUAUAAAUUUCUAAGGGAAGGGAACAAGGUGUUGGGCUAACUGGACAAAUAAUGCCUGUCAUUUGUGUUAUAAUGGGGAACAUUAAUAUUUCUGAAUGGUGUAAACUGAAAAAACAAAAUCAUUAUUAUACAUUCUCCUUCAAAAACAUCAUGCAGCCAAUUGACUCGAUAUGCAUGAAGACUGUUUUGCCCAUUAAUGUUGACAUCUAGAAAAAUUUGGAGAAGAAAGAUGGCACUCCACUAGCCAUUUGUCCCUGCAAUUGCACUGAUCCUCAAAAGAUACAAUCUGAUGGACAAACGAAUUACCUAAUACCGCUUCAAUGAAUAUGAGAGCUAUUGAAGUUGCCUCCACCAUCAAUGAGGGCAACAAUACAACCUAGUGACAUCGAAGCAACAAAUAAUGGUUGUUAAUGAAAUGCUUAUCUUUAUGUGAAAAUCCUUCUUAUAGUUCUUGCAGCUGCACGAGCUAACACCCUCCCAGCUAAAUCGACUGGUAGACGAACUACUUGCUGUUGGGUUUCUGGUGGAAGCUGCCAAUGGAAAGAAAAAAUAGCAUCUCAGAAGUCUGACUGUUGUGACAUGUUCAACUCUAAAAGAGGCUGAGACAUUUCACUGGAUUAGCUACCAACAAAACACUGACAGGAAAUCAAAGUCGGGAAAGCUUUGCAACUAUACACACGCGCGCGCGCGCGCGCGCGCGCGCACACACACACAGAGAGAGAGAGAGAGAGAGAGAGAGAGAGAGACUANNNNNNNNNNNNNNNNNNNNAGAGAGAGAGAGAGAGAGAGAGAGAGAGAGAGCUACCAGCCUAGUUGGAUAAGCAGGUAUGAAGUCAAUCAAACAGCCCUUGUAACCAAGUUGAACAAUAUUUCAAGUUUCCCCUAACAAGCCUAUUUUUCUACCAUUUUAAUAACCAAUAUCACACAUCCUAUUUGCGAAGCAUAAAAAUAAUUAACAUGAGAAAGUUUUUAAGAGGAGCAUUUAUCCAAGAGAGCAAAAUAGUAUCAAUAUGAGUGGUCGAAAGCUUUGGGAGUUAUGAAGGUUUUGAACUAGUGCUUUGAACUUCAAACACAUUUUCCUUGAAUCCAUCAGAUGACAUGGGGGAAACAAGCAACAUCGCAUGUAUGUCUAGAUGUGGAUGUGCAUGUUUGUGUAGGUUU